UACGGAGGGGGCUAGCGUUGUUCGGAAUUACUGGGCGUAAAGGGCGCGUAGGCGGGUUGCUAAGUUAGAGGUGAAAGCCCAGGGCUCAACCCUGGAAUUGCCUUUAAUACUGGCAGCCUUGAGUAUGGCAGAGGUGUGUGGAACUCCGAGUGUAGAGGUGAAAUUCGUAGAUAUUCGGAAGAACACCAGUGGCGAAGGCGACACACUGGGCCAUUACUGACGCUGAGGCGCGAAAGCGUGGGGAGCAAACAGG
rnacentral:rRNA from 1 species